rnacentral:misc_RNA from 1 species
GAUCAAGAUAAUAUUAAUUUGGUUAAUUAAUUAAAUGGUUUAAUUGAUUAAUAAAUUAAUGAAUUUAGUUUACAACUAGAUUGCAAAGUGUCUAGCAUGACUUGAAAUUAAAUUCAGAGUAAAUGGGUAAUUUAAAUAAGAAGAAAAUUAGUUUACAUUUAAAGUGUUAAAUAUAAGCUUAAAAUUAAAAGAGUUUAAUUAAGGCAUAAUUUAUAUUAGAUAUAAAUUACUAUGAGAAAAGAGUGUAUACAUGGCUUACGUGGCUUGAAAACCCAUGAGAGAAAGAAAUGUGGCUUAGUGGGAAUUGUAAGAGGCUUGCAUGACAAUUCCAUGGCUGCCUAUGAUAAAGACACAUAAGCCAUUUGACUCCUUUAGAAGGAGACAAGUGGCCAACACUAUUACCAAAUCUCCACCAACCACAUAUAAGGUUUAGGGAUUUCCAUUCCCUAAAUCAAGGAACUCACAUACUAGUUUAGGGAUUUCCAUAUCCCUAAACUAUAAAUUGAGAAACCCACAUGCAAACUAUGAGGAAUUGUUCUUCUUCUUUUUCUUCUCUCUAAAAAGGCCAAGAUUCUUCUUCUCCCUUUUCUUCUUGAAAUCUCUUACAUAUUAGAAAUGUUACCUUGAGAUUUGAAGGAAGAGAUUUUUUCUCUAUCAACCUAAAGUAAUUAUCCAUUUGUUCUACCUAAAAGUUGAACCAUAUCUUGCUUGUGUCCCUAGUGGCCAACCAAAGGGGAGAAGCACAAGGGAGUGUCUUCAGUUCAAGAGUUGGUUACCUUCAUCACAAGGGUUGUGUGGACCAAAUAGAGGAUCUACAAUUGGAGGCCAGAUUCCUAGAGGGUGGAUAGUGAUUCAGCACCUUACAGGUAAAAUCCCUGAACUUAGUUUAGAAGUUUUCUCUUCUUCUGUUUCCCAUUUCCAAAAUGGGCUAGAAGAUCAAUUGCGUCACAAUGGUUGUGAC